CCUUAAUGACACACCACUCGCUCACGAUAGCGGUAUAUAUUGCUGAGGAAAACGAAUUUACUCCGCAGUUGUAAACGGAAUCGUUCAAGCUGAAGAUGGAAAAUCGUACUGCAAUGAAACUUCUAACACUUUACGUCUUGAUUGUCACAGUCGCAAUCUUACUUCCCACCAUUAACGCCUUGCCACAAAUGCUUGGUUCAGAUCCUUGCACAUGGGGCCCGAGCUACUGGUGUAAAUCACAUGAGAACGCGAAGACAUGCAGAGCUGAACAAUGGUGCACGGUUAAUAAAAUGUGGGAUUCAUAAUCUCGCUCAAGAUUUCGAUUUUACGUCACGAAAAGAAUAUGCAAGUCAAUUAAUGUAGUUGUAGAACAUCACUUGCUGGAAAAAAAAAAGAAAUGUUAUAAUAAACAUUUGAGCAUGAA